rnacentral:rRNA from 1 species
GUAGGUGGCAAGCGUUGUCCGGAAUUGUUGGGCGUAAAGCGCGCGCAGGCGGUCCUUUAAGUCUGAUGUGAAAGCCCACGGCUCAACCGUGGAGGGUCAUUGGAAACUGGGGGACUUGAGUACAGAAGAGGAAAGCGGAAUUCCAAGUGUAGCGGUGAAAUGCGUAGAGAUUUGGAGGAACACCAGUGGCGAAGGCGGCUUUCUGGUCUGUAACUGACGCUGAGGCGCGAAAGCGUGGGGAGCAAACAGGGAUUAGAUACCCUGGUAGUCCACGCCGUAAACGAUGAGUGCUAAGUGUUAGGGGGUUUCCGCCCCCUUAGUGCUGCAGCUAACGCAUUAAGCACUCCGCCUGGGGAUACGGCCGCAAGGCUG